GAUGAACGCUGGCGGCGUGCUUAACACAUGCAAGUCGAACGAAGAUGCCGGAGUGCUUGCACUUUGGCAGACUGAGUGGCGGACGGGUGAGUAACGCGUGGGUAACCUGCCUUAUACAGGGGGAUAACAGUUGGAAACGACUGCUAAUACCGCAUAAGCGCACGGUAUCGCAUGAUACAGUGUAGAAAAACUCCGGUGGUAUAAGAUGGACCCGCGUCUGAUUAGCUAGUUGGCAGGGCAACGGCCUACCAAGGCGACGAUCAGUAGCCGACCUGAGAGGGUGACCGGCCACAUUGGGACUGAGACACGGCCCAAACUCCUACGGGAGGCAGCAGUGGGGAAUAUUGCACAAUGGGGGAAACCCUGAUGCAGCGACGCCGCGUGAGCGAAGAAGUAUUUCGGUAUGUAAAGCUCUAUCAGCAGGGAAGAAGAAAUGACGGUACCUGACUAAGAAGCACCGGCUAAAUACGUG
rnacentral:rRNA from 1 species